CCCAAUUUUUUGUCUGGUCACUAGUCCUAGUCCUAGUCAUUGAGCACAAAAGAUAUCAGGUGUCCCGCUUGGGUACUUGGAAAUGCACGAGACGACGUCGACGUAGCAAGCAUGUGAAUGAACCUUGUUCUCAGAGUGCGAGCGAGUCGUCGUCGAUGGUUGUCUUUGAUUGUGUCACGUGUGUGUGCUGUAACGACACCAAUCACAU
rnacentral:misc_RNA from 1 species